UGCGAAGGAAGAGAUAAAUCGUAUCACCUUAUCAAAACAUUCACAGUAGAAGCACGAAGACCUUAUAAAGGGUCACUAUGUUAUCAUUGAUAGGGAUGAAAUUUAACAGAUAUAAUUGAAAAGGACAAAGUUCAAUU
ensembl:ncRNA R05D3.13 ncRNA